GCAAAACGUUAUUUGGAUUUUAAACAGGGUACUUCUUGGUAGUGUUUAGAUUCAGCAUCAGAAAGGAAAAGAAAAUUUGCACGAAAUCUUAACAGUUUUUUUGACCGAAUAAGGCCAAAAAAUAUGAAGAUUCUGAAAAAUUGGCAUUUCAAAGAAAAAAGAUUAAGCGACCCCAUCAAUCUGUUCGAAGACUAGGAUCCAAAGUAUAUUCUUUAAAUCUCUGUUAUCUGUUCUAAAAGAAAAAUCUUUAAUUAGUGAAAAUACCGAAACAACUUUGUUGGCUUCCAUUCCAAGCAGGGCUAAUGAAAUUUUUAAAAGAAUGCUAAAAGCAGGAUGAUAUCCAAUGAUAUGACACCUCUAAUACAACAACAACAACCUACUCUUUUUUCUUCUUGGUACUUUAAUGGCAGCUAAAAUAAAUAUGGAUUGAGUGUUUCAAAACUGCUUAGUAUUGUAAAUGGUAUUAUAAAUGAUAAAUCAAACGAACGAGCAAUUCUACUUCAACAUUAAAAUUAUCCCAUUCGCAGACUGUGGACAGUUAAUUCACAAAGUUUGAGUCGUUUGGACUUACAACCAGUAUAUGCGUAGAGUAGUAUAUUCAGCUAAGUGAUCACCAUAUAUUAUCACUUUUUGUCCAAAUACAAAUAAUAUUAAAAAAUAAAAGGUCCUUUUCUGUAAAUAUAAAAAUCAUCCGCUGUAAGAAACUUACAAGUGUAGAAAGUAUAAUUCGUCAC